rnacentral:rRNA from 1 species
UACGGAGGAUCCAAGCGUUAUCCGGAAUCAUUGGGUUUAAAGGGUCCGUAGGCGGUUUGGUAAGUCAGCGGUGAAAGCCCAUCGCUCAACGGUGGAACGGCCAUUGAUACUGCCAGACUUGAAUUAUUAGGAAGUAACUAGAAUAUGUAGUGUAGCGGUGAAAUGCUUAGAGAUUACAUGGAAUACCAAUUGCGAAGGCAGGUUACUACUAAUGGAUUGACGCUGAUGGACGAAAGCGUGGGUAGCGAACAGG